AGCAAAUGAUGCAAGCGAAUAUUUGCUAUCUGAGCAACGGGUGCUGACACCUUUACCCACCAAGAUCGCUGAUGCU